UACGGAGGGUGCGAGCGUUGUCCGGAAUCACUGGGCGUAAAGGGCGCGUAGGUGGCGCGGGAAGUCAACGGUGAAAGUUCGGGGCUCAACCCUGAAUCGGCCGUCGAUACUCCCGGGCUCGAGCACUGUAGAGGCAGAUGGAAUUCCGGGUGUAGCGGUGGAAUGCGUAGAGAUCCGGAAGAACACCGGUGGCGAAGGCGGUCUGCUGGGCAGUUGCUGACACUGAGGCGCGAAAGCGUGGGGAGCAAACAGG
rnacentral:rRNA from 1 species